GGCUCUUCCGCCUUAGGCAGCUGCUAGGCGGGAGGGACUAAUCCCUCAACCCCACCGCUCCCACCGGAGGGGACUGGGGCCCGAGACCGGCCAGGAUAAGGGGAGGCCUGAGCUCCUUCCGCCGGUGCCCCAGUGCAGGUUUCAGCUCGCGCUCCCGGGGCAGGAGGGAGCCUCCAGUUGGGUGCGCACUGGAAGUUCGUUCCCUCUGAAGCCUAAACCGGUGUCUACGCAGGCGGAGCUGAACGGAGAGGUGAAGCAGGGGGUCUUCCUCACAAUUCCUGCAGAAACCCUGGAUCCCACUCCACUGAGGAAAAUCCUUUCUCUUUUGUGUUUGGGUGCUUUUAAAGGAACUUUUCCCCUUUCCCCUGGCCAGCUGGGUCCAGCCAUCCGGGGCCGGCAGCCCUCUCAGCGUUCUGCUCUGUCCCAGGCCCUGCGAUAUUUAUUGUAGCUAAAGGCGAUGAGGUUGGGGGGGAGAGAAGGGUCGGGCCAGGGACUGGAGAGGUGGGAGUGGGGGGUGGGCGAGGGAUGCCCUGUGGCAGGGGUUCCUGUAAUUAUGUGUAAAUAUCUGUACAGCGGGCGGCUCUCUGGGUUCUCUGUCCACUGGGUGUGCGUUGAUUUAGAUUUCUCCACUGUGGGGAGACUCUGUGAAAUCAUCUGAUGGUUUGUGUGGAAGAAAAGAAAAAAAUGUGUCUCCCCCCCACUCCCCCUUGGUGUCAAUUGAAUAAAUGUAUGUGAAUUUCA